UCACUGUGUUUUUUACAUGUUCCUUCAUCA
rnacentral:sRNA from 1 species